rnacentral:rRNA from 1 species
UACAGAGGUCUCAAGCGUUGUUCGGAUUCAUUGGGCGUAAAGGGUGCGUAGGCGGCGCGGUAAGUCGGGUGUGAAAUCUCGGAGCUUAACUGGGGAGGGUCACUCGAUACUGAUCGACUUGAAGGCGGGAGAGGGAAGCGGAAUUCCCGGUGUAGUGGUGAAAUGCGUAGAUAUCGGGAGGAACACCAGUGGCGAAGGCGGCUUUCUGGCCCGUUCUUGACGCUGAGGCGCGAAAGCUAGGGUAGCAAACGGG